CUCCUCACCCGCCCGAUUCUUCCCCUAACCCGACGCCUCUUCUCCUUCCUCUCGGCGCCGAGCUCUCCCCCUUUCUCCUUCUUUCGAUCCCAUGCCCUAACCGCAAAACUGCCACGCAGUUCCUUCUUCCCCUUCCUCGCGUGCCCUAGCGACACCUUUUCCCUCUGCGGCCGAGCCCUAGCUCGAUUCAUCUCGCGCGACUUUCCCUGUUUCUUCCCUAUCUCGGCUGUUGAGAUCAGGAAGCACCGAGCCCUCUUUGCCUUGGCUCCGGCAGCAGACCUUAUCUUCUGCUCUAGCACCUGCCGCGAUUGUCUCUGCCCGACACCGACCCUCAUCUCCCCUGCUCGGUGUCGCCGACCCAAAUCUGGUCUCUUUUGUUCUGCCGACAGCAGCCUUUCAACUUUGCCCUAGAUCGUCGGAAUCUGGAAGCUUGAGUGGGUCUUCGGUUAGGAGCAGCAACCCAAGCCUUGGUGUCCCCCCUUCCGUGCCCUAGUUCCACUGUUGGGUCUUCCUUCAGCCACCUCCUACAGUGCACCAACAGGGGAGCAUCCGAAAUUGCAGCUUACCCUGGAGGUCCUUGCUUCAGCCCUGAGUAGAGAGUUGACAACCCUACAGCGGUGUUUGGUGUUGAGGGAACCCCACCGGUCAUUCUGUUUUGGGCAGGGAACCCCUUCGACUGUGAGCCAUCAGCGAUCAUCUUGGAUUUGGGACUGUGAUUUGAGACGGGCGUCUCAACAUCAGAUUGGUUCGAUUUGAUCUAUUGGAGGCGGGU